GACGAACGCUGGCGGCGUGCUUAACACAUGCAAGUCGAACGGUGAAGCGCCUUCCUUUUUGGUGGGUGUGGAUGAGUGGCGAACGGGUGAGUAACACGUGAGUAACCUGCCCCCUUCUUCUGGAUAACCGCAUGAAAGUGUGGCUAAUACGGGAUAUUCUGGGUCUGUCGCAUGAUGGGUCUGGGAAAGAUAUUGUUUCGGUGGGGGAUGGGCUCGCGGCCUAUCAGCUUGUUGGUGGGGUGAUGGCCUACCAAGGCGGUGACGGGUAGCCGGCCUGAGAGGGGGGACGGACCCACGGGGACUGGGACCCGGCCCAGGCCCCGACGGGGGGCAGCGGGGGGGAAUAUUGAACAAUGGGGGGAAGCCUGAGGCAGGGACGCCGGGUGGGGGAGGGGGGCCGUCGGGUGGGGAACCUCUUUCGCCAGGGAAGAAGGCCUGCCCCGUUCGGGGGUGGGUUGACGGUGGCGGGAUAAGAAGCCCCGGCUAACUACGU
rnacentral:rRNA from 1 species